rnacentral:tRNA from 1 species
GCGAGGAUGGCGGAAUUGGUAGACGCGCUGGAUUUAGGUUCCAGUACUGAAAGGUGUGGGGGUUCGACUCCCCCUUCUCGCACCA